GAUGAACGCUGGCGGCGUGCCUAAUACAUGCAAGUCGAGCGAACAGAUGAGGAGCUUGCUCCUCUGACGUUAGCGGCGGACGGGUGAGUAACACGUGGAUAACCUACCUAUAAGACUGGGAUAACUUCGGGAAACCGGAGCUAAUACCGGAUAAUAUAUUGAACCGCAUGGUUCAAUAGUGAAAGACGGUUUUGCUGUCACUUAUAGAUGGAUCCGCGCCGCAUUAGCUAGUUGGUAAGGUAACGGCUGACCAAGGCAACGAUGCGUAGCUGACCUGAGAGGAUGAGCAGACAAACUGGGAUUGAGACACGGGCCAGACUCAUAAGGGAGGCAGCAGUGGGGAAUCUUGGAAAAUGGGCGAAAGCCUGAUGCAGCAAUUCAGCGUGAGUGAAGAAGGUCUUCGGAUUGUAAAGCUCUUUAGGCAGGAAAGAAAAGGUGAGAAAUAAAAUAGCAAGCUCUUGACGGUACCUGAAGAGGAAGAAAGGGCUAACUACGUG
rnacentral:rRNA from 1 species